AUGUCCUCGUCCGCCGGCAGCGGCCACCAGCCCAGCCAGAGCCGCGCCAUCCCCACCCGCACCGUGCCCAUCAGCGACGCCGCGCAGCUACCUCAUGACUAUUGCACCACGCCCGGGGGGACGCUCUUCUCCACCACGCCGGGAGGAACCCGAAUCAUUUAUGAUCGAAAGUUUCUGUUGGAUCGUCGCAAUUCUCCUAUGGCUCAGACCCCGCCCUGCCAUCUGCCCAAUAUCCCAGGGGUCACCAGCCCUGGCACCUUAAUCGAAGAUUCCAAAGUAGAAGUAAACAAUUUGAACAACUUGAACAAUCAUGACAGGAAGCAUGCAGUUGGGGAUGAUGCUCAGUUUGAGAUGGACAUCUGACCGUCCCGCAGGAGCAGCAGGAAAGCAGCAGUGCUGAGGCUGUAUACACCGGAUUGGGCCCAUCGGAUCAACAGUGAACGGACAGAGGGGCAGCCAGCAGUCCCAUUGCAGCCCCCGAGACCUCCUCUUCCUUCCUCUGGGUGCCAAAUGAUGCGAAGAUGAGCUUCAUCUGACCAUUUCCCCUCCCUGUUUCCUGCCCCCCUUCCCAGUUACACAGAGUUGAUCCAAGAUCCUUGGCAUAUUUCCGUAGACCUAAGCAGCCCACAGAGGAAAGCAGUUAAACUCUGGCUUCCGUAGUUAUUUUACAGUUGAGAAAACCUGUCCUCCCCCUACCCCCCAUUUUUUAAAAAUCCCAAAUCAAAUAUCAACCUGCCAACAAUUGCCUGGCUGGGAAGUCUGGGGAAGUGACACAGAGGUGUGGUGGGUUCAGCAUUGUCCGUGUCCUGACCCUCUGUCUGCCCUCCCUGUCUCUCCCACCUGUGGUUCAGAGCUGUAGGAGUCUGAGUGUCGGGUCUUCACAGCCAUCAGAGGGCAAUGGUAAUGGAGAGGAGAGCCACUCUCCCUCGUACCCUGAGCUGUUUGUCCUUCAGGCCAGAGUGCAGUUUGUACAGCUCUGCUAGCAUCACCCUGCGACGUUUUCUGAGGUCCACUUCCCCUCCUUCCUCUGGCAGGGGUGUCUUCUGUCUUUGAUAUUCGAGCGCCGCUUCCCAGUCCUUCACUUAGCACAUCUGUGCAGAAAGGUGUGAGCCCCACCUGAGGGGGGAGUCCUUGGGAAGCAGCAGGGCUCUCCUCUCCUCCUUCCUCCCUGCUAGUGCCCUGUUGCCCCCCAUCCCCUUGUAUCUGAGCCACCAGGGUGAUUCUGCCGCUCCCCGCUCCCCGCUCCCGCAACAGGCCUACCCAAGCGACAGGCACCUGGGGGGAGGCCUGGUUCAUAGCGUUCUGCCGGGUGACCCUGAAGAAUGACCUGGGCAGCGUGCUGAACCAGUUUUUGCAGGGAGUGUCAGCCGUGUGAUACAGCAGCAGCCUGCUCCUUCAGUCUUCUCUGCAAGGCCCUCCUUACUGGUUGGUGUCCUUUCCUGGAGGCCACUGCUAUGAGAGAUACUUUGAUCUCCAUGAACCUGCAUUUUAAAGAUCGUUUCACAAGGCAACAGAUUAACUUGUAACAGAUGACACCUUUGUGCCAUGCCUCAAGAAUGAUUUUUUCAGGGCGAGCCAGAUCCAGAAGAAUGAAUAAUCUCUCCUGGCUUUCUCUUGGGGAGGGAGAACCCUUAGGGGACCAUCUGAGUGAGAUGGUUCUUAAAAUCUUAGUGAUCAUUUGCUCUUUUUAUGAGGAAACCGUGUUUCUGAACCUCUGAGGACAAUCCAUCUUGGUGGAAAUGACCUCGUUCCUCCAAAUUCCAGCAGGAGACACGCGUUGUCUUGGUCUGUCUGUACAGUAUGGUUUGCUGAGACCACCACGUCUUCAUAUUCUGUUUAAAUAGCUGAACGUCCUCAGGAGCACCCUGUCAAGCAGCUGGCUUCUUGGUAUUGGGCUGUCAAGCCUGGAAUUCUGUCAUCCCACCUGUAUUAGUUAUCUUCUGCUGUGUGACAGAUUACCCCCAAACUUGAAAUCUUGAAAGAGCAAAUGUUUUCUGUCAGCUUCUGGAGGUUAGGAAUUGGGAGGCAGCUUAGCAUGAUGGUUCUGGCACAGGGUCGCCAGAAGUUGCCAUCAAGAUGUCGGCAGGGUCUGCAGUCAUCUAGCUAGGACUGGAGAACCCACUUCUACGUGCGCUGUGGCUUGUUGGUGCGUUCUGUGCACACGGGUCUCUGUGUAGAGCAGCGCGAGUGUCCUCAUACCAGAACAGCUGGCUCCCCUCUGAGCAGGUGACCCCAGGGAGAGGGCAAGAAGGAGUCUGCAGUGCCUUCCAUGACGGCCUCUGAAAGCACACACCAUCACCUCUUCCCUAUUGUGUCCCUUAGAAGCAACCCCCAAGCCUGGCCGACACACAGGGGAGGGCAGUGACACCCACCUGUGAGGGGAGCAGUAUCAAAGAAUGUGAGGAUCUACCUUAAAAUCACCUCACCCCCAACAGAGGAUAAAGUCAGUCCAACAGGGGGGUAGGUUAAACUAGAUAACACAAAGAGAUGUUGCUACUGCAUCUCCAAACUGAAGAGAAGACAGACACUCUUCUCUUUCCCCAAAGUCAGCUGCUGGUUUGGAGAGUGGGGGCAAGAAAUGACGAUUCCCGAGAGAAUAAAAAGAGCUCUACGUUUGCCUGGCUACCAGCAGUGCAAGGAUGCUUCGGGGCGAGUCCUAGGCUUUGUGUCUCUCAGACUCCGCACCACGUCUUUGCAUCUCCGUGAGCCAGGAACUGAAAGGGAAUUGGAUCCUUCUAACUCAGCCACUAAAGCGGACCUAAUUGGAGUCAGGGUUGUUAAGGCAAAGGAAGAAAUGUGAAUGAGAUGUUGGGUUACCGGGCUGAAUGAAAGCUUCACGGUUUGGAUUCAGGGUGAAGUAGAUGAUUGCAUCUGGAAGCCAGGCCCCUGUCAGAGUCCAGGUGUUGGUACCUGGUCUCUGCAGCCAUACGAGCUGAAACAGAUUUGGGUCGGGUGGCUCACCCAAGAAGCCACUUCUCAGUUCAGUGGGGGCCAUCUGGGAAUUAGAAAUGUCUGUCGGUGCUUGAUUGCACCUCUGAAUCCAGUGUGUGUCUUACCUGGGUGCCCGCCUCAGGCCGGGCUUCCUGAUAGAGAUGUGUCUUAAAGAGAGCCGAUCAGUCGAACACAUUCCUAGGGAGCCUCUCCUGGGCGUCUGGCGCCCAUGCCCAGCCACGUUUUAGAGACUCGAGACAUCUUCAGGAUGCACGUUCCUGUCUGGCUUUAUGCUCUGCCUCUUCUCUGGCCCUGCUUGGUGGAGCGUGCACUUGACUAAGAAGCAUUGCUGCUGAGGCAGCCGUAAGAACAAGGGCACUUCCUCCACGAGGAAGGACUCCUCUUCACAGCACUUUCCCCUGACUUGCCUUUUUCCUUCUGCUUUUGAGGCAGAGCCACAAUAGAUGGUCUUUCGUUUUGCGUUUGGGCCCCCAGCUCUUUGGGACCGUCCGACCUUGGUGCGGACAGCUGUGGCAGCAUGAAGCCUGCUGCCUGGGUGGCUUGUCCCCAGAGCCCGCCGUUCAGCCGGCGCACGACCCGCGUGCCAUCGAGGCAGCUGGUAGGAGGGGCUCAUUGUGCUGCAGCAGGACCCCAGAAACGGGCUCUUUACUCUUUCUCCCCUUCUUGGGUAUUCGAUGGCGUGUCAAGCAUCUUGGCUGCUUGAAGCCAGGGCCCCGGGCCCUUUGAGUUCUCCCGCAGAGAGGCGGUCCACUGCCUCUCCAUCUGGGCCGGAACUUGCCGGUCGAGGCAUGUUUCUGGACCACAGGCACAGCAGCUGUCUAUUAAUCUGCGAAACCCAAUCACUUACCCACCCAUGACAUCUGGGACCGGGUAAUCAUUUUAAAGAAGCACGGUUUCUUUGGGAGGGCAGUGUCUGUCUGGACUUGGAAAGGGGUGUGGUUAACCGCGCCCCCCCAUUCCUGUGUCCUAACCUCUCAGCUUUUAAUAAAGGAUGAAAUCAGAUCUUGAGGCAACUGGGUCACGAUUCUUUUGAAUGCUUAUUCCCCAGGGGCAUUUCCUGUUCUAGUAAGGAUUUUCCAGUUUAGCACUGAGGUUUCCUUGAGGCUAGCUCAGGAAUUUCUUACAAAAGACUAAGGAGAUGGAUACAAACUUAUUUUCUCAAGCAAUCAUUCAUGUCUCCUUUCCCACCCUCUGGAAUUUAAAUUUCAUUCUCUGGGCUGGUCCUAGAAGUGAAUACCUUGUGGCAAAACUAGAUUUAAGAGGUCUCUUGAGUUCCUGUUCAGAUGGUCUGUGGUUUCUCUUUGCUUAACAACUCUGCCUGCAGCCUGGGCCAACCACACGGUAUGGAUGGCCGGGGGAAAUGUUGCCUAGGUGAAACACAGUUCCCUGGGUAUUUAAAUUCUUACUCUGCCACCUUUCUAAGUGUAGGGGGCUAACCGAUGCUGCAAUGCUUGAUAAUCAUGUGGCCACGCUGAAAUUUCCAAAGGGAGCUCUCGCCGGUGCUUACCCCCCAAAUUCCUGGACACUUCUAACAGAGAGUUCCAUGAAUCUAGCCCAGAAUAGCCAGUCUUGCCCCCGGUGUAUCCCCUUCCUCUCCAUCUUAAUCUUUAAAAACAAAAAACCAAGCCCAGGCCAAGGGUAAUUUUUACUUGAAACCAGGAGGGUGGGGAGGAACACGAGCUAAGGACGAGUUGUCCGAGUAAGCCAUCCUGCUCCUGGUGGCCGUGGCCAAACCACUGAGUCCCAUGAGCCAGUGCCUUUCCCUCCCCCAAAGAGGGAGCCCGCCUCUUCCCACCUGGGUACCCCAGGGGCAAGCCUCAAAGGAGGCAUCUUGGAGAGCCCAGAGGACACUCACAUGCCUAGGGGUCCAUUUUAAGCAUCUUUAAGACAUUUUCUGUAUAAAACAAAUGCCCUUCCCUGUCUUCGUGCCGCCAGUGGCCCAGUUCCAUCCACUGAACGGAAAAGUGGAGACUGCCGUUACUUCUUUGGUCUUCCCUUCGUCCCCUUAGACGUGGUCGCCCCCCGCCCCUCCCGUCAUUUCACCAUCGUGGAUGGAGAGCGGAGGACACCAUGCGGUCUUGAGGCAGUCCCGUGUGAAUCCGUGAUCACUUUUGUUGGUGUGGGUUUUUUUUUUUUUUUUUUUUUUGGUAACUGUCCUAAACCAGCAGGUGUUUGGAAAUUAGGGAAAAAUUAAAUUCUCACCAAUGGUUGCUGUUACAGUUAAAUCAAUAAAGAUCUUGAGUAUCAA